rnacentral:rRNA from 1 species
UACGGAGGGCGCGAGCGUUAUCCGGAUUCACUGGGUUUAAAGGGUGCGUAGGUGGGAAUGUAAGUCAGUGGUGAAAUCUCUGAGCUUAACUCAGAAACUGCCAUUGAUACUAUGUUUCUUGAAUUUUCUGGAGGUCAGCGGAAUAUGUCAUGUAGCGGUGAAAUGCUUAGAUAUGACAUAGAACACCAAUUGCGAAGGCAGCUGGCUACAGGGAUAUUGACACUGAGGCACGAAAGCGUGGGGAUCAAACAGG